rnacentral:rRNA from 1 species
UACGUAGGGGGCGAGCGUUGUCCGGAAUCAUUGGGUGUAAAGCGCGUGUAGGCGGCCCGGUAAGUCCGCUGUGAAAGUCCAGGGCUCAACCCUGGGAUGCCGGUGGAUACUGUCGGGCUCGAGUCCGGAAGAGGCGAGUGGAAUUCCUGGUGUAGCGGUGAAAUGCGCAGAUAUCAGGAGGAACACCAAUGGCGAAGGCAGCUCGCUGGGACGUGACUGACGCUGAGACGCGAAAGCGUGGGGAGCAAACAGG